GACGAACGCUGGCGGCGUGCAUAACACAUGCAAGUCAAGGGGGCCCGCAAGGGCAACCGGCGAGCGGGUGCGUAACACGUAAGCGACCUACCUCGAUGUGGGGCAGUAGCCGGCCUAACGGCCGGGUAAUUCCGCAUACGCUCUUGGAGGGGCAUAUCUCCGAGAUGAAACCAGCAAUGGGCAUUGAGAGGGGCUUGCGGCCUAUCAGCUAGUUGGUGAGGUAACGGCUCACCAAGGCUACGACGGGUAGCUGGUCUGAGAGGAUGGCCAGCCACAUUGGGACUGAGAAACGGCCCAGACUCCUACGGGAGGCAGCAGUGGGGAAUCUUGCGCAAUGGCCUAACGGCUGACGCAGCGACGCCGCGU
rnacentral:rRNA from 1 species